CACGUAGUUAGCCGUGGCUUAUUCAAGGGGUACCGUCUUCUGCUCUUCCCCCUUAAAAGAAGUUUACAACCCGAAAGCCUUCUUCCUUCACGCGGCGUUGCUGGGUUAGGCUUGCGCCCAUUGCCCAAUAUUCCCCACUGCUGCCUCCCGUAGGAGUCUGGGCCGUAUCUCAGUCCCAAUGUGGCCGGCCAACCUCUCAGUCCGGCUACUGAUCGUCGCCUUGGUGGGCCGUUACCUCACCAACUAGCUAAUCAGACGCGAGGCCAUCUUCCAGCGAUAAAUCUUUGGCGUCAGAGUCAUGCGGCUCCAACGCAUCAUGCGGUAUUAGCAGUCGUUCCAAUGUUCUCCCCCUCUAGGAAGGCAGGUUCCUCACGCGUUACUCACCAGUCCGCCACUAAGCAUUCCCAUCCGUUGUCCGAAAACUCCUUCGAGGGGUCGUCGUCCGUUCG
rnacentral:rRNA from 1 species